AUUGAACGCUGGCGGCAGGCCUAACACAUGCAAGUCGAGCGAGCGGCGGACGGGUGAGUAAUGUCUGGGAAACUGCCUGAUGGAGGGGGAUAACUACUGGAAACGGUAGCUAAUACCGCAUACCAUCAGAUGUGCCACGAUGGGAUUAGCUAGUAGGUGGGGUAACGGCUCACCUAGGCGACGAUCCUUAGCUGGUCUGAGAGGAUGACCGGCCACACUGGAACUGGAACACGGCCCAGACUCCUAGGGAAGGCAGCAUGGGGGAAUAUUGCACAAUGGGCGCAAUCCGGAUGCGGCCAUGCGGCGUGUGUGAAGAAGGCCUUAGGGUUGUAAAGCACUUUCAGCGGGGAGGCGUUACCCGCAGAAGAAGCACCGGCUAACUCCGUGCCAGCAGCCGCGGUAAUUC
rnacentral:rRNA from 1 species